AGUAAAGAUGGCCGCGCCCGCCGCAGGCGCCGGCUCCGCGUUUGCCCGCAGUUAAGAUGUCGGGUGAGAGGGUCUGCGGCCCCGGGGUGCUGUGGGGGUGGUUGGGGGACCCGUGAGGAGCCCUGAGGCGGCUCUCGAAGCGAGGCUGGGGCUGCUCCGGAUGCUGGCACCGCGGGCAGGACUCGCCCUGAACCGAGCGGCGGGGCCGGGUUUCUCUGAUGUUUGAAGGCAUCACUUUUCCACUUAUGAACUGCUAAGGGAUCCUGGAGUGUUUACAGGAGAUGGAGAGGUCCUUUGGAUUAAACACACCCAGGAAAGGCAACACUACUGUCCCAAGUUUACAUCUGCUCAAGAAGCAUUUCCUGAAAAACAAAUAGGGGCCCUGAAAACUGGAAGACUGAACCUAAAAAGCUGGAAAAGCAACUCCGAGAUAGCACUGAGGAGAACAUCAUCACUACCCAUCCCUUCUGGAAGUCUUUUGGGUUUUCUUGGGCAUUAUUUUGGUGCGUGGUGACUUGUCUGGAGCCUGUCAGUACCAAAGAAGGAUUUGUCCCAGUCCCAGAUAUUCUAAGAAUCCGUGGAAACGCGGAUUUAAAACGUGUGGAUGGCUGACAAAGAGCUCAGCCAGCGAUGCGAAAUAUUGCCAUCGAACAGCUUUUUGGGAGAUUUCGCGUAAACUGAAUUGGCAGCCCGGAGUUCAGCAGGCAAAGUAUGCAAAUGAAAAUUGAUACUCCUCUCAGCAACUGGAAGCGAAAGGGCAGGGCCGGAGCGCGCUCCGGGAUGAACUCAGCCCUCGGAGAUGGAGAUGGAGGUGCACUGAUGGGAAAAGUGCCCGGCUCUUCUGUCUGCGGCGCGUCCCUCGCAUGGAUAAAUACACCACUCGCUGUUCAUCACUGUCAGGAAAAUUGUCACUUCUCACGAGCGCCACAUUAAUUAAAACUGAGAGGAAGGGCUGGGAAGCUGAGCUGAGCGCUCGGAAUCCUUAGGAAGGGGGAUGGAGCGGCGUGUUCUUAGCGCUCUCGGUGCAAUUGCUGCCGCCCCGUGAAACGGAACGGGUGCCAGAACAAGGGGAAAUCAAUCUGAACUCAGGAGAAAUUGAUUUCCAAACCUCUUGUAGCCCUUACCCCAUGCAACCAAUGGGGCCGCGUAAGGUCAGCAGAUGAGCUCGGGAAACUGUAACGGAAUAAAAAUUGUAUUCAUCGACUUUAA